UAAAUUUAGGGAACGUGUUGGAUGUGUUGGUGACGAGAGGCUUCAAUUCAAAAACCGACCCGACAAAAAAGAAAAGAGCACAGAGCGUACCGCCCCGCCAGUCUCCUUCUUUGCCAAAACGCUGUGCAAAAAGUGACCAGCGCCCAGAAACAGCUCUGACGAUAAACUCUGCAAGAGAACACAGCAAUAAAGUAUGGUGUACCUGUGGUGUGAUCUAGAACUCACCCAUCCAUGUCCUCUGCCGCAACAGGCUCUGUGAGCCUGGCACCCCCAUGGUCACUGGACGGGCUUCACUGGCUCACUACAACCUUACUUCCUACAAUCUUACUAUCCCAGCAGCUCAGCUAACCUUGUUCAUGUUCUCUGCUUGAUCCGCCCUACUAUCUGUGGGUGAGCUUUCAGCCUUUCUGUCCCCAGUCUGUGGAAUUCCAUCCCAGAGACCCUCUCGCCUCCACCUUUAAAACUUAUCUUUUUGAUCAUGCUUUUGGUCACCUUUCCCCCGCCUAUCUAACCUCCUCAGCUUCCCGGCCCUCCACCUCAUAAGCUCUGUAAAGUGUUUUGAGAUGUCCUCCAACAUGGAAAGCACUGUAUAAAUGUAAAUUGUUGUUGUUGUAAAACAGAUAAUCCAAAGAAUUAUAUAAAAUUCAGCGCGGUUUCAGAAAUGUAAUGCAUUAUUGUUCAAAAGUCAUUGUGAGAACAUGUAACAGUUUAUCUUUAAUGUGAAUGAGAAAAGCCCAAAUCAUUAAAUGUUUA